GGCCCGUUGGUCAAGCGGCUAAGACACCAGCCUCUCACGCUGGUAACAAGGGUUCGAUUCCCUUACGGGUCACCA
rnacentral:tRNA from 1 species